rnacentral:rRNA from 1 species
UACGUAGGGUGCGAGCGUUAAUCGGAAUUACUGGGCGUAAAGCGUGCGCAGGCGGCUUGCCAAGUCAGAUGUGAAAGCCCUGGGCUCAACCUGGGAAUUGCACUGGAUACUGGCAGGCUAGAGUGCGGUAGAGGAUGGCGGAAUUCCCGGUGUAGCAGUGAAAUGCGUAGAGAUCGGGAGGAACAUCUGUGGCGAAGGCGGCCAUCUGGACCAGCACUGACACUGAGGCACGAAAGCGUGGGGAGCAAACAGG